rnacentral:rRNA from 1 species
AUGUAUCCAUGGUUUUCUUGUGUUAUGAUUUAUCUUUCCUACAGCCAACACAUUUUUUCUCUUGGCCGACCUGCUGCUUGCAUACAUGACAGAUAUGCAUCCAUGGUGAAGUUACUAUAUAAGUAUAGGGUCAAGCACUGCCCCGACAUACAUCCUAUUUUGAGUUUUUCCUCAAAGUCCCAUGGCCAUGUUGCUGGUAGAGUUGGAAGCACCACCCUUGAUUUUGAAAUUGGAGAAGGAAGAUGGAUAACAGAGUUCAGUACAGUAAGGAUGCUCUAUAAUAUAGGAAUCCAGACAAGGACGAUGAGCAAUACAUGA